rnacentral:rRNA from 1 species
GAUGAACGCUAGCGAUAGGCUUAACACAUGCAAGUCGAGGGGCAGCAUGGUCUUCGCUUGCUAAGACUGAUGGCGACCGGCGCACGGGUACGUAACGCGUAUGCAACUUGCCUCACAGAGGUGGCUAACCCGUCGAAAGACUGACUAAUACCGCGUACACUCUAUGUUGGGCAUCCAAUGUAGAGGCAAUGUAAUUCGCUGUGAGAUAGGCAUGCGUCCCAUUAGAUAGUUGGUGAGGUAACGCCUCACCAAGGCGACGAUGGGUAGGGGAGAUGAGAGGUUGAACCACCACACUGGUACUGAGGCACGGACCAGACUCCUACGGAAGGCAGCAGUGAGUAAUAUUGGGCAAUGAGCGAGGGCCGGAACCAGCCAAGUCGCGUGAAAGAUGACUGGCUUAGGGAUAGUAAACUUCUUGUAUACAAGAAUAACGAGAGCCACGUGGCACUCCCUGCAGGUACCUUAUGAAUAAGCAACGGCUAACUCCGUG